UACGUAGGGUGCAAGCGUUAAUCGGAAUUACUGGGCGUAAAGCGUGCGCAGGCGGUUUUGUAAGACUGUCGUGAAAUCCCCGGGCUCAACCUGGGAAUGGCGAUGGUGACUGCAAGGCUAGAGUUUGGCAGAGGGGGUAGAAUUCCACGUGUAGCAGUGAAAUGCGUAGAUAUGUGGAGGAACACCGAUGGCGAAGGCAGCCCCCUGGGUCAAAACUGACGCUCAUGCACGAAAGCGUGGGGAGCAAACAGG
rnacentral:rRNA from 1 species